UUUUUUUGGCAGAUGAUCGCUGUCCGCCUUAGGUGGAUGGAGGAAAGUCCGAACUUCGUAGGGUACAGUGCCCCGUAACACAGGGUGGGGAUGGGUAAAACCCGUUCUUAAGGAAAGUGCCACAGAAACCAGACAUCCUAAGCGUAGGCGUUAAGCAAUAAGCGUUAAGUCAAAGAUAAUUUUACUUACCGCUCAUUGCUUGACGCUUAUCGCUGGAUAAAGAUGAAACGGUGGUGUAAGAGACCACCGCCCGAGAGGUAACUCGAAGGGCAAUCCUUCGAUUCGUCCGUUGCACGGACUCACUCAGGAUUCUAAAACUGGGUGUCAUCGAAGAUUGACUUUCGGCAAUGCUUAGAUGAGUAGUCCUGAGCGUAGUCGAAGGGCAAGGUAAACCCCGCUGGAAGAAAGACAGAAAAAGAUGUUCGCUCGCCUAAAAAACAUCGAGCCAGACGUUACCCGCGUCAAGCAUCUAGGUUUGUCGAGAGACCUUUGUUGCAAAACAAAGGCCAGAUAGAUGAUCAUCAUUUCAGUGGUCAGGUGACAGGGGCCAGGCGACAGGAUAAAAUUUAAUCCUAGCUCCUGUUCCCUAAUACCUGAUCCCUGAAGUACAGAAUUCGGCUUAUGCCAGAAAAAGCCU
rnacentral:RNase_P_RNA from 2 species